CCUACGGGCGGCAGCAGUGAGGAAUAUUGGUCAAUGGGCUUACGCCUGAACCAGCCAAGUCGCGUGAGGGAAGACUGCCCUAUGGGUUGUAAACCUCUUUUGUCAGGGAGCAACGCCUGCUACGUGUAGCCGGACUGAGAGUACCUGAAGAAAAAGCCUCGGCUAACUCCGUGCCAGCAGCCGCGGUAAUACGGAGGAUGCGACCGUUAUCCGGAUUUAUUGGGUUUAAAGGGUGCGUAGGCGGAAUGCCAAGUCAGCGGUAAAAGCGCGGGGCUCAACCUCGCUCCGCCGUUGAAACUGGCGUUCUUGAGUGGGCGAGAAGUAUGCGGAAUGCGCGGUGUAGCGGUGAAAUGCAUAGAUAUCGCGCAGAACUCCGAUUGCGAAGGCAGCAUACCGGCGCCCAACUGACGCUGAAGCACGAAAGCGUGGGUAUCGAACAGGAUUAGAUACCCUUGUAGUC
rnacentral:rRNA from 1 species